GAGAAAGGAAAGUUUGGGUGUUUGGAAUGAAGUUUGAUCCAAGAUCUUUUAAUAUUAAUGAUCCUAAUGAGUGGCUAAUUAAGAGAUCUCGGACCAGGCUUCAUUCCUCACACCUUGCUUUUUCAUUACAGA
rnacentral:pre_miRNA from 1 species